AUUGAACGCUGGCGGCAGGCCUAACACAUGCAAGUCGAGCGGGGUUUUCGGACCUAGCGGCGGACGGGUGAGUAAUGCGUAGGAAGCUGCCCGAUAGAGGGGGAUACCAGUUGGAAACGACUGUUAAUACCGCAUAAUGUCUACGGACCAAGGUGUGGGACCUUCGGGCCACACGCUAUCGGAUGCGCCUACGUGGGAUUAGCUAGUUGGUGAGGUAAUGGCUCACCAAGGCGACGAUCUCUAGCUGGUUUGAGAGGAUGAUCAGCCACACUGGAACUGAGACACGGUCCAGACUCCUACGGGAGGCAGCAGUGGGGAAUAUUGGACAAUGGGCGCAAGCCUGAUCCAGCCAUGCCGCGUGUGUGAAGAAGGCCUUCGGGUUGUAAAGCACUUUCAGCGAGGAGGAAGGGGUGUGUGUUAAUAGUACACACCUUUGACGUUACUCGCAGAAGAAGCACCGGCUAACUCUGUGCCAGCCGCCGCAGUAAUAC
rnacentral:rRNA from 1 species